AGUCGAACGAGACCUUCGGGUCUAGUGGCGCACGGGUGCGUAACGCGUGGGAAUCUGCCCUUGGGUUCGGAAUAACUCCCCGAAAGGGGUGCUAAUACCGGAUGAUGUCGGAAGACCAAAGAUUUAUCGCCCAAGGAUGAGCCCGCGUAGGAUUAGCUUGUUGGUGAGGUAAAAGCUCACCAAGGCGACGAUCCUUAGCUGGUCUGAGAGGAUGAUCAGCCACACUGGGACUGAGACACGGCCCAGACUCCUACGGGAGGCAGCAGUGGGGAAUAUUGGACAAUGGGCGAAAGCCUGAUCCAGCAAUGCCGCGUGAGUGAUGAAGGCCUUAGGGUUGUAAAGCUCUUUUACCCGGGAUGAUAAUGACAGUACCGGGAGAAUAAGCCCCGGCUAACUCCGUGCCAGCAGCCGCGGUAAUACGGAGGGGGCUAGCGUUGUUCGGAAUUACUGGGCGUAAAGCGCGCGUAGGCGGUUUUUCAAGUCAGGGGUGAAAGCCCGGAGCUCAACUCCGGAAUAGCCCUUGAAACUGGAUGACUUGAGUCUUGGAGAGGUCAGUGGAGUUCCGAGUGUAGAGGUGAAAUUCGUAGAUAUUCGGAAGAACACCAGUGGCGAAGGCGACUGACUGGACAAGUACUGACGCUGAGGUGCGAAAGCGUGGGG
rnacentral:rRNA from 1 species